rnacentral:rRNA from 1 species
AAAUAAAAACUUGCAUACAAGAAUUUAUAAAAAUGUUAUAACGAAUUUAAUUAAAUGUUUUAUCAUUAUAUAUAAAGAAUUUAUGGCAAGAUAAAGUUAUAUACAACCUCAACUCAUAUGGGACUACCCCCUGAAUUUAAGCAUAUUAAUUAGGGGAGGAAAAGAAACUAACAAGGAUUUUCUUAGUAGCGGCGAGCGAAAAGAAAACAGUUCAGCACUAAGUCACUUUGUCUAUAUGGCAAAUGUGAGAUGCAGUGUAUGGAGCGUCAAUAUUCUAGUAUGAGAAAUUAACGAUUUAAGUCCUUCUUAAAUGAGGCCAUUUACCCAUAGAGGGUGCCAGGCCCGUAUAACGUUAAUGAUUACUAGAUGAUGUUUCCAAAGAGUCGUGUUGCUUGAUAGUGCAGCACUAAGUGGGUGGUAAACUCCAUCUAAAACUAAAUAUAACCAUGAGACCGAUAGUAAACAAGUACCGUGAGGGAAAGUUGAAAAGAACUCUGAAUAGAGAGUUAAACAGUACGUGAAACUGCUUAGAGGUUAAGCCCGAUGAACCUGAAUAUCCGUUAUGGAAAAUUCAUCAUUAAAAUUGUAAUAUUUAAAUAAUAUUAUGAGAAUAGUGUGCAUUUUUUCCAUAUAAGGACAUUGUAAUCUAUUAGCAUAUACCAAAUUUAUCAUAAAAUAUAACUUAUAGUUUAUUCCAAUUAAAUUGCUUGCAUUUUAACACAGAAUAAAUGUUAUUAAUUUGAUAAAGUGCUGAUAGAUUUAUAUGAUUACAGUGCGUUAAUUUUUCGGAAUUAUAUAAUGGCAUAAUUAUCAUUGAUUUUUGUGUUUAUUAUAUGCACUUGUAUGAUUAACAAUGCGAAAGAUUCAGGAUACCUUCGGGACCCGUCUUGAAACACGGACCAAGGAGUCUAACAUAUGUGCAAGUUAUUGGGAUAUAAACCUAAUAGCGUAAUUAACUUGACUAAUAAUGGGAUUAGUUUUUUAGCUAUUUAUAGCUAAUUAACACAAUCCCGGGGCGUUCUAUAUAGUUAUGUAUAAUGUAUAUUUAUAUUAUUUAUGCCUCUAACUGGAACGUACCUUGAGCAUAUAUGCUGUGACCCGAAAGAUGGUGAACUAUACUUGAUCAGGUUGAAGUCAGGGGAAACCCUGAUGGAAGACCGAAACAGUUCUGACGUGCAAAUCGAUUGUCAGAAUUGAGUAUAGGGGCGAAAGACCAAUCGAACCAUCUAGUAGCUGGUUCCUUCCGAAGUUUCCCUCAGGAUAGCUGGUGCAUUUUAAUAUUAUAUAAAAUAAUCUUAUCUGGUAAAGCGAAUGAUUAGAGGCCUUAGGGUCGAAACGAUCUUAACCUAUUCUCAAACUUUAAAUGGGUAAGAACCUUAACUUUCUUGAUAUGAAGUUCAAGGUUAUGAUAUAAUGUGCCCAGUGGGCCACUUUUGGUAAGCAGAACUGGCGCUGUGGGAUGAACCAAACGUAAUGUUACGGUGCCCAAAUUAACAACUCAUGCAGAUACCAUGAAAGGCGUUGGUUGCUUAAAACAGCAGGACGGUGAUCAUGGAAGUCGAAAUCCGCUAAGGAGUGUGUAACAACUCACCUGCCGAAGCAACUAGCCCUUAAAAUGGAUGGCGCUUAAGUUGUAUACCUAUACAUUACCGCUAAAGUAGAUGAUUUAUAUUACUUGUGAUAUAAAUUUUGAAACUUUAGUGAGUAGGAAGGUACAAUGGUAUGCGUAGAAGUGUUUGGCGUAAGCCUGCAUGGAGCUGCCAUUGGUACAGAUCUUGGUGGUAGUAGCAAAUAAUCGAAUGAGACCUUGGAGGACUGAAGUGGAGAAGGGUUUCGUGUGAACAGUGGUUGAUCACGAGUUAGUCGGUCCUAAGUUCAAGGCGAAAGCCGAAAAUUUUCAAGUAAAACAAAAAUGCCUAACUAUAUAAACAAAGCGAAUUAUAAUACACUUGAAUAAUUUUGAACGAAAGGGAAUACGGUUCCAAUUCCGUAACCUGUUGAGUAUCCGUUUGUUAUUAAAUAUGGGCCUCGUGCUCAUCCUGGCAACAGGAACGACCAUAAAGAAGCCGUCGAGAGAUAUCGGAAGAGUUUUCUUUUCUGUUUUAUAGCCGUACUACCAUGGAAGUCUUUCGCAGAGAGAUAUGGUAGAUGGGCUAGAAGAGCAUGACAUAUACUGUUGUGUCGAUAUUUUCUCCUCGGACCUUGAAAAUUUAUGGUGGGGACACGCAAACUUCUCAACAGGCCGUACCAAUAUCCGCAGCUGGUCUCCAAGGUGAAGAGUCUCUAGUCGAUAGAAUAAUGUAGGUAAGGGAAGUCGGCAAAUUAGAUCCGUAACUUCGGGAUAAGGAUUGGCUCUGAAGAUUGAGAUAGUCGGGCUUGAUUGGGAAACAAUAACAUGGUUUAUGUGCUCGUUCUGGGUAAAUAGAGUUUCUAGCAUUUAUGUUAGUUACUUGUUCCCCGGAUAGUUUAGUUACGUAGCCAAUUGUGGAACUUUCUUGCUAAAAUUUUUAAGAAUACUAUUUGGGUUAAACCAAUUAGUUCUUAUUAAUUAUAACGAUUAUCAAUUAACAAUCAAUUCAGAACUGGCACGGACUUGGGGAAUCCGACUGUCUAAUUAAAACAAAGCAUUGUGAUGGCCCUAGCGGGUGUUGACACAAUGUGAUUUCUGCCCAGUGCUCUGAAUGUCAAAGUGAAGAAAUUCAAGUAAGCGCGGGUCAACGGCGGGAGUAACUAUGACUCUCUUAAGGUAGCCAAAUGCCUCGUCAUCUAAUUAGUGACGCGCAUGAAUGGAUUAACGAGAUUCCUACUGUCCCUAUCUACUAUCUAGCGAACCACAGCCAACGCUUGGAAAAUUAGCGGGAAGGACCCUUGACUUGACUGUGGUUGGUACCCAUAUCGCGGGUAGAGCCUUCAUGCUCGACGUUUGAGUUACGGUGCUAGUUGCGCAAAACUCGGGUGCUGUGACCCAGAGAUCAGUAGAGAUUUUAGGUAGAUCUCGCUCCUCAGCAAGGGGGAGUGCUUGCCCGGCAAGCAAGUACUCGAAUUGCUACCGGGGUGGUCGCUAUGUACAUAGCUAUAGCUUCUAGUCCGGGACGCUUGUCUGGCGUAUCCAGACACAUGCACCAUAUGCUCACUUGUGGGCGUAUAGGGUGCCGUGGUUGUAAUCCCUUCAGUGUGGAACACGCCACGUAAAAUAAGUUCGGAGGGAUCCGAAAAGCAUACAUUGUCCCUAUCUACUGCCGUGUGGUUAGCGGGCGAGAAUACUACCACAGUCCGCUGUUGCUUGUCGUAAGAGACGACUAAUACAGCGAUAGGAUUCCUCUAACCCUGCUUGUCGGAGCAAAAGGGGGAGGCCCACCGAGCCUCUUUUCGGUACCACGGGUUGAGCAGCUAUCCAAGACUGCUCAUUGAGGUAGGCCCCCUGGUGGGAGUAUCGUGGUGGCUGUGGUUGGUACCCAUAUCGCGGGUAGAGCCUUCAUGCUCGACGUUUGAGUUACGGUGCUGGUUGCGCAAAACUCGGGUGCUGUGACCCAGAGAUCAGUAGAGAUUUUAGGUAGAUCUCGCUCCUCAGCAAGGGGGAGUGCUUGCCCGGCAAGCAAGUACUCGAAUUGCUACCGGGGUGGUCGCUAUGUACAUAGCUAUAGCUUCUAGUCCGGGACGCUUGUCUGGCGUAUCCAGACACAUGCACCAUAUGC